ensembl:lncRNA
CUUAGAAAUUACUGUGACUUCUAAGGUUCAUAUGUCUUGAGAAUUUGGCUUAGCAUGAAGAGCUGCUCAACAGCUGUAAACCUUAAUGCAGCCAUAGCAGUUCUCCAUCAGAGUCCGGAGAAGGACUGAAGCACAUUUCAGGAGGAAGCAGAGGGUUUGUCACUCAUGAAAGCCCCACGCAUCACCCAGCACCUGUUCAAGGCCUUUCUGGCCUCAGGAAAGACUAUAUGCUGUCUUUGAUUUUGUUUUAUAAAUGCCACUGGGGUUAGCUGCUGAAUGCCCUUCUAAUCCAUAAGCAAGGUCUCACCUUUGGGGUUCUUAUCAACGCUGACAAGCAGCAAGCAAUUGAAAAGGCAGUCAGAUUUUUUCAUGGCAUCAAACUUUUUGCUCCUCCUUCAUAAUGCUCAGGGAAAAAAACUCCAAGCUGUUAACACGGAUUUUUUGCAGCAUCCCAAGCCUACAGCUUGGAUGGAGCAAUGGUAGGUGCAGAAUUGCCAUCACUUUUCUUAGGCUGGUGCCUCAGGGCUCAGACCACCUACACAGCACCUGCAGACAAAUUGUUGGAGGUCAUUAGCCUGAAGGCCUUCACCUGCUGUCAGCUUCCCCUCCUCAUUUAUAGCAGAUCCUCAGCUCUAACAGAGGGGCACAGAUAGGCAUUUUGCUUGAAUGUCUUGUGUGGGGUUUUUUUUUUUUGUCUGGAGAGGUCUUGGGGGAUUUGCUUCAGCUGUUGCUGUUUGCAAGAUGGGCUGGAGUUCUAGGAAUACCACCAGCAAAUGCUGUAUCUCAGGUUGCUGAGACACCAGGGCAGGGAGGUCCUGAGCAUCAGAGCAGUUUGUGACAGUCAUCAGAAAAUAUGCACUCCCCUACAUGAGUGUCUCACGGUGGAACUCAUCUCUCAAGCUUCUUUGCAUGCUGCCUGCCAUCCUGCUGCUCGGGCAGAUCACCAGGACAGCCGUGCACUCUUCACAGCCCUUUUUGGGAACAACUAUGUGUCAUCGGCCGACUGCUCAGGAAACCACGCAAGCUGGGCAGGAAGCGCCAGGAAGGGCUCAGCCUCCCUGCACACUUGUAGGGCACAAAAUGAAUCAACCUGCCCUGCCUGGAGCCAGUUCUCCAUCUCAUCCCUAUCAGGAGCUUGGGAAUCCACGCUUCUGCAGACACCUCAGCUCCUGCCUGGAACCGAGCUGUGCAAGGAGGUUCGGUGCAGCCAUCACCAGAUGGUGCUGCUGCAUUCAGCCUUGCAGGGUCACUGUGUGCACGAGUGCUGGGAUUCUUGGAAGAAAAUACUGAACUGUGGAUGUUUUCCCGCUGCUUGGAUGUCUGGGGAAUAGGCAGGGCAUGGUCUGCCUUCAUGUCACUAGCCAGUUCUCUUUGAGAACCAGACAUUUGGGCUUUGGCUGGGGAUUCAGAACAGGGGUGGGUUCAGAUGAUGUUUGAGAUGAUCUGUUCCAGCCUGGCUCGAGUGGAUAAACAAAAUUAAUUAGGCCCACAUCAUAGGAUUUCACAGGAUUUAUUUUUCCUCCAAUGGAAAACUGGCUGGCAACGGGUAAUCAGGAAAACAUAUCACUAAACUUCAUCUCUUUUUUUUCCAUAAGUUUUACAGUUUUUACCUUUUUUUUUUUUUUUAAGGCCCAGCUCCAGGAAUCGUGUUAUCACAUGAGAAUCCAACACCCAACGCACAACUGUAGAGAAAAAGUUAUGUCCCCUUUCCUACAUCUGUUAUAUACGAAACUGCAGUGUGCAAAGAACUUCAGCUGAUGUGAUUAAGCAGAGGAAACAGCACUGAACGUUUAUCUCGCAGAUUUUAGUCUGUUCCCUGGUUGUGGCAGUAAACAUGUGAUUAGUUCUAAAAAGUUGCUUGGGAAGGCUUUCAUCUCUGCUUCCUCAGAAAAUGGAGGAAAAGGUCAAGGGAAAGAUUUUGACAGAGCAGUUCACGAUUGUAAUUCACGUUUAUCUAUUCAUUAUAGUCUCCCUCUUCAAGUUUAUUUGCACCGCUGGGGGAGCAUGCAGAGCUCUCAGUUUCUGUAAGGCAAAUAGGUGCAGCACAAGAAACUCAGAAGCUAAGCCAAAAAUUGUUCUUUUUGAGUCAGCAUUCUUCACUGCUAUUGCACUGAGAUCUCUGAAUGCCUCUAGGCAGAGAAAAAUCUACGUUUGAUGAUUUGGAGCUCUGAAAGUAGGUGCUCCAGCCUUCAUAAGGUCUUCAGCCUCAUCCUGUGGUUAUUCAGGCUGUGUGCUUUAAAGUUCUGACUGUCUUUAUAUUCUGUCUGUGGCCAUCACAGUGUCCUGAUGGAGUUCUGUAAGAACUGGGAUUUGAUCGUCCAGGUCAGAACAGGAUCUGUCCAGACUCAUGGAUUCCAAGGGACAGCUCAUGGCUCAGAAAGAUAGGGGCCAUGAAACUGCAGAAUGACAAACAGUGAUGCUCUUGAGAUGGUAAAUGAGGAGCUUUUUUAUUUUAUGGUGUCAUGAAAGAAUACUGGUGAAUACCAAGAAACUGGUAUCAAGUGAUAGCAGAUAACUGCUAAAAAGAAAUGUUCCUUUCUGACCAGCUCACUGCUGUGGAGUAGAGAAAUCCAAGGGGAUUUGAGGAUUAAGAACAGACUGAUAGUUAAUGCUAAAAUGUAUUUCAAAAGGAGUAUCAACCCAAUAAAAAAUGCCUAAAUCUUGAAGUUUUUUGUGGG